CUCCUAACCUCAUUAGCAUAAAUCGGAAGAAUUCGGAGAUAAACGUAAUAAAAUAUGAACAAAAUCCGUAAACGUCCGAACAGCUUUCCUCGCGAGAAUUCAGCGAGACCAACAUGCUACAGGUGAAAAUCGAGAGAGAAAUUCAACAUGGAAAAAGAGGAAAAACUUUAUGUUAUCUCGAUUUAUAAAAUUUGUAAAUUGCAAAAAGUUGAAAAACAAACGUUUCUUUACCUGAAAAGUGAAAGGAGGUUUGCAGUUUCUUAUUCUGUCAAGUGCUAUUGCACUUAAAAGUGUCAAAACAGCACCUCUCGAUUUUGUAAACAUGUUUCCACGUGCAAGGGAGUAGUUGUGAUGGUUAAGAUUAACCCACAUACAUUGAUUUAGUGAACAAAAACACUCGUACAGCUGUAGAGUACAUUUUGAACAGCCAUCUCCAGGUAUGACAAAAAUUACACAAUUGACCCUAUAAGGAUAUACUCUUAAGACAGUGAUGUGCAAGUUCAAGGUUUGCCUGUUCAGAUACUUUAAUAAUAAAGAA